rnacentral:lncRNA from 1 species
CUGUGACCUAGGUGAGUACAAUGUCCAACGGUAUUCAGUUAAUUCACAUGUUUGAGGUGCAAACUAAUUUCUCCAUGGAGAGGAUAAGAUCCCUCAGAGUAAAAUGAGAUGUAUAGAUGUGAUAUUUCAGCUUCUCCCUAAUCAGUGUGACAAGUGCACACAGGGACACUCCAUUGCUGCUCCAUGGGCUAAGCACCACAGAAGCAGAAGAGCGCAGAAAAGUAGAUACCUGAAAGUUUAUAGACAUGUAUGAGUCUGAAACAGUAAGUACUUCAAGAAGAAAUUUCUCCUUUGAAGACAGGGACUUUUCAUCCCCCUGCAAAUGGCCCUGAAUGGCUGGCAAGAGCCAGCAGAACAAGGAUCUUUGACAGGUACAAGAAAGAGAAGAGAAUGGAGAAAAACAUCCCAGUAAAAGAGAGGGGAGACCUAAGGCUCAUGUUUUGGACCCUGAGAUGAGAAGGCAUAAAGUUCUUAUGGUCUCCCUGUUCUGUAUGUUACACAAUCACACAGCCACACAUGACAGAAAUGGAAAUGAACACUUUUAGAAAUAUUUUCAGGAGGUAAAUAAAUGUAUAAUAUCGAAAUAACA